AUUUUAUCUCCUAAUAUUUAUUCUCUGAUUAUACAGUUAAUUGUUAAAGCAAUAGAAAUUUCUUUUUUAUAAAAUUAUUUUAAAAUUAUUCCCAAUUUACUUUUUUAAUACAUAGGUUUUUAACAUCUAAUUUAUAGUACAAUUUAUGAAUAUUAUUGAAAAAUUUUUGAUAUUUCUGCCAGACAAAUAUAAAAACUUAUAAAAUGGUUUCUAAUGGACUUAAUAGAAAUUGUUUUAAUUUUUUUUUUUAUGUUUUCAAUUAAAUACCAGUACAUUGUUUUGAAAAUUCUUUCCACCAGAGGGAUUCAGUUGAAAAAAUCUCCAUUAGAGGGUGUCAGCCAAGGAUGUGCUAUCAACAAUUGUCUUUCAAAUAUUCAGAUAAGCCUAAUCGUAAUCCGAAUUAAUUUUUUGCUUAAAUCAGCUUCUCCAAACUGUUUUAGUCAUGCCCAUCAUUUACCAUUAAAGAAAAAUAACAUGUGUGCUAUAUAAUAAAUAUGUAUUAUGAUGAACAAAAAAUAUGAAUCACUGAAAUUUCUUAUAUAUCUGUAGACAGUGGCAGAUUUAGUUAUGAUCUUUAUGGGCUGCAGCCCAAAGUCCUCUUCAAUCAAAGGGCCCCCUUCACAGUCAAAAAUAAAAAUAAAAACAAUUUAAAUUAAAAAUUUAAGAAAAAAUUAAUUAUACAAAUUUUUUCAUAUCUAGAUAAAGUUUAAAUUGUUGAUAGUAAACAGAGACCACGUUCGGGAAACAAAAUAAAACACACAAGGGGCGGGCUUCAAAUCCAGAC
rnacentral:lncRNA from 1 species